rnacentral:rRNA from 1 species
UGCGAACGGGUGAGUAACGCGUAGGUAACCUGCCUGGUAGCGGGGGAUAACUAUUGGAAACGAUAGCUAAUACCGCAUAAGAGUAGAUGUUGCAUGACAUUUGCUUAAAAGGUGCAAUUGCAUCACUACCAGAUGGACCUGCGUUGUAUUAGCUAGUUGGUGGGGUAACGGCUCACCAAGGCGACGAUACAUAGCCGACCUGAGAGGGUGAUCGGCCACACUGGGACUGAGACACGGCCCAGACUCCUACGGGAGGCAGCAGUAGGGAAUCUUCGGCAAUGGACGGAAGUCUGACCGAGCAACGCCGCGUGAGUGAAGAAGGUUUUCGGAUCGUAAAGCUCUGUUGUAAGAGAAGAACGAGUGUGAGAGUGGAAAGUUCACACUGUGACGGUAUCUUACCAGAAAGGGACGGCUAACUACGUGCCAGCAGCCGCGGUAAUACGUAGGUCCCGAGCGUUGUCCGGAUUUAUUGGGCGUAAAGCGAGCGCAGGCGGUUAGAUAAGUCUGAAGUUAAAGGCUGUGGCUUAACCAUAGUACGCUUUGGAAACUGUUUAACUUGAGUGCAAGAGGGGAGAGUGGAAUUCCAUGUGUAGCGGUGAAAUGCGUAGAUAUAUGGAGGAACACCGGUGGCGAAAGCGGCUCU